rnacentral:rRNA from 1 species
UACGGAGGGUGCGAGCGUUGUCCGGAAUCACUGGGCGUAAAGGGCGCGUAGGCGGCGCGGGGAGUCAACGGUGAAAGCUCGGCGCUCAACGCCGAGUCGGCCGUCGAUACUCCCGUGCUUGAGCACUGUAGAGGCAGGUGGAAUUCCGGGUGUAGCAGUGGAAUGCGUAGAGAUCCGGAAGAACACCGGUGGCGAAGGCGGUCUGCUGGGCAGUUGCUGACACUGAGGCGCGACAGCGUGGGGAGCAAACAGG